rnacentral:rRNA from 1 species
GAUGAACGCUGGCGGCGUGCCUAAUACAUGCAAGUCGAGCGAACGGACGAGAAGCUUGCUUCUCUGAUGUUAGCGGCGGACGGGUGAGUAACACGUGGAUAACCUACCUAUCAGACUGGGAUAACUUCGUGAAACCGGAGCUAAUACCGGAUAAUAUUUUGAACCGCAUUGUUCAAAAGUGAAAGACGGUUUUGCUGUCACUUAUAGAUGGAUCCGCGCUGCAUUAGCUAGUUGUUAAGGUAACGGCUUACCAAGGCAACGAUGCAUAGCCGACCUGUGAGGGUGAUCGGCCACACUGGAACUGAGACACGGUCCAGACUCCUACGGGAGGCAGCAGUAGGGAAUCUUCCGCAAUGGGCGAAAGCCUGACGGAGCAACGCCGCGUGCGUGAUGAAGGUCUUCGGAUCGUAAAACUCUGUUAUGAGGGAAGAACAUAUGUGUAAGUAACUGUGCACAUCUUGACGGUACCUAAUCAGAAAGCCACGGCUAACUACGUG